GCAUUGAAAGUACAUAGCCGUACAUAUCUGGCAUUGCACUCUAUGAAUGUGACACAAAGCACUGGCUUUCCAUUUUGCUAACUAAAUUUUGCGUGAUAUUAUAUAUUGUUUUGUUAGUCCUGAUUUAACUUUUCGAUGAAACCAUAUGGAUGUGGUAGUACAUGCUUACAUACGUAUUUGAAUGUUUUUAGCAGUGAUUAAUGUGAAUCUAAAAUACAUGCCGGUACUUUCAGAAUUCAUAUCCUAUUACUGUAAGGCACAGAAAACAAAUGUUUAAUGUUUUAUAAUUUUUUAAUUCAUCUGCAAAACACAUUAUGUAUUAUCUUAUGCUUAAAUUAGGGUUGAAAAUCAUUGUUAAUUUUGAAUUGUCAGUCGAUGACUAAUACUAUCACACGAUACUUCAGAUCAAUAUUGCAUGAUUUAUAAAAUUUGUAAUCAACGCUGAAGUAACGAAGACUUUAAAUUUCAGUUGC
rnacentral:misc_RNA from 1 species